rnacentral:rRNA from 1 species
AGAGUUUGAUCCUGGCUCAGGACGAACGCUGGCGGCGUGCCUAAUACAUGCAAGUAGAACGCUGAAGGAAGGAGCUUGCUCUUUCCGGAUGAGUUGCGAACGGGUGAGUAACGCGUAGGUAACCUGCCUGGUAGUGGGGGAUAACUAUUGGAAACGAUAGCUAAUACCGCAUAAGAGUAGAUGUUGCAUGACAUUUGCUUAAAAGGUGCAAUUGCAUCACUACCAGAUGGACCUGCGUUGUAUUAGCUAGUUGGUGGGGUAACGGCUCACCAAGGCGACGAUACAUAGCCGACCUGAGAGGGUGAUCGGCCACACUGGGACUGAGACACGACCCAGACUCCUACGGGAGGCAGCAGUAGGGAAUCUUCGGCAAUGGACGGAAGUCUGACCGAGCAACGCCGCGUGAGUGAAGAAGGUUUUCGGAUCGUAAAGCUCUGUUGUAAGAGAAGAACGAGUGUGAGAGUGGAAAGUUCACACUGUGACGGUAUCUUACCAGAAAGGGACGGCUAACUACGUGCCAGCAGCCGCGGUAAUACGUAGGUCCCGAGCGUUGUCCGGAUUUAUUGGGCGUAAAGCGAGCGCAGGCGGUUAGAUAAGUCUGAAGUUAAAGGCUGUGGCUUAACCAUAGUACGCUUUGGAAACUGUUUAACUUGAGUGCAAGAGGGGAGAGUGGAAUUCCAUGUGUAGCGGUGAAAUGCGUAGAUAUAUGGAGGAACACCGGUGGCGAAAGCGGCUCUCUGGCUUGUAACUGACGCUGAGGCUCGAAAGCGUGGGGAGCAAACAGAAUUAGAUACCCUGGUAGUCCACGCCGUAAAC